rnacentral:rRNA from 1 species
UGAGGAAUAUUGCGCAAUGGGGGCAACCCUGACGCAGCGACGCCGCGUGAGUGAGGAAGGCCUUCGGGUCGUAAAGCUCUGUAAAAGGGAAAGAAGUGCAUGGUGGCUAAUACCUGCCAUGUUUGACGGUACCCUUAAAGGAAGCACCGGCUAACACCGUGCCAGCAGCAGCGGUAAUACGGAGGGUGCAAGCGUUGUUCGGAAUCACUGGGAGUAAAGGGCGCGUAGGCGGUUUGAUAAGUCAGAUGUGAAAGCCCACGGCUUAACUGUGGAAGUGCAUUUGAAACUGUCAGACUUGAGUAUCAGAGGGGAAAGGGGAAGUCCCGGUGUAGAGGUGAAAUUCGUAGAUAUCGGGAGGAAUACCGGUGGCGAAGGCGACUUUCUGGCUGAAUACUGACGCUGAGGCGCGAAAGCGUGGGGAGCAAACA